GGAACGAACGCUGGCGGCAUGCCUAAUACAUGCAAGUCGAACGAACUCUUCGGAGUUAGUGGCGCACGGGUGCGUAACGCGUGGGAAUCUGCCCCUUGGUUCGGAAUAACAGUUGGAAACGACUGCUAAUACCGGAUGAUGACGAAAGUCCAAAGAUUUAUCGCCAAGGGAUGAGCCCGCGUAGGAUUAGCUAGUUGGUGAGGUAAAGGCUCACCAAGGCAACGAUCCUUAGCUGGUCUGAGAGGAUGAUCAGCCACACUGGGACUGAGACACGGCCCAGACUCCUACGGGAGGCAGCAGUAGGGAAUAUUGGACAAUGGGACGAAAGCCUGAUCCAGCAAUGCCGCGUGAGUGAUGAA
rnacentral:rRNA from 1 species